GCAGCCGCGGUAAUACGUAUGGGGCGAGCGUUAUCCGGAUUUAUUGGGCGUAAAGCGCGCGUAGGCGGCCUAUUAAGCGCAAUCUCUAAUCUUAGGGCUCAACCCUAAGCCGGAUUGCGAACUGGUAGGCUCGAGUUUGGUAGAGGAAGAUGGAAUUCCCAGUGUAGCGGUGAAAUGCGCAGAUAUUGGGAAGAACACCGAUGGCGAAGGCAGUCUUCUGGGCCAUAACUGACGCUGAGGUGCGAAAGCGUGGGGAGCAAACAGGAUUAGAUACCCC
rnacentral:rRNA from 1 species